GUGAUGUCGCCUCAAUAGCCGGAGGCGUGAAGAGACUCGCAUGGGCUGA
rnacentral:snoRNA from 1 species